AGAGUUUGAUCCUGGCUCAGGAUGAACGCUGGCGGUGCGCCUAAUGCAUGCAAGUCGAGCGACGCACUCCGGAGGGGUAACCCACUGGAAUGACGGAGCGGCGAACGGGUGAGUAUCACGUGAGCAACCUGCCCCACAGACCGGGAUAGCCCAGGGAAACCUGGAUUAAUACCGGAUGACCUCCUAGGACCGCAUGGUCCAUUGAGGAAAUGCCUUUGUGCUGUGGGAUGGGCUCGCGACUUAUCAGCUAGUUGGCGGGGUAACGGCCUACCAAGGCAUCGACGAAUAGCUGGUCUGAGAGGACGAUCAGCCACACUGGAACUGAGACACGGUCCAGACUCCUACGGGAGGCAGCAGCAGGGAAUCUUGCGCAAUGGGCGAAAGCCUGACGCAGCGACACCGCGUGGGGGAUGAAGGCCUUCGGGUUGUAAACCCCUUUCAGGAGGGAAGAAAUUGACGGUACCUCCACAAGAAGGACCGGCCAACUACGUGCCAGCAGCCGCGGUAAUACGUAGGGUCCGAGCGUUAUCCGGAAUCAUUGGGCGUAAA
rnacentral:rRNA from 1 species